UACGAAGGGUGCAAACGUUGCUCGGAAUCAUUGGGCGUAAAGCGCACGUAGGCGGCUUUGUAAGUCGGAUGUGAAAUCCCACAGCUUAACUGUGGACGUGCAUUCGAAACUGCAUGGCUCGAGUAUGGAAGAGGGUCGCAGAAUUCCCGGUGUAGAGGUGAAAUUCGUAGAUAUCAGGAGGAACACCGGUGGCGAAAGCGGCUCCCUGGCCCGAUACUGACGCUCAUGUACGAAAGCGUGGGGAGCAAACAGG
rnacentral:rRNA from 1 species